GAAAAAUUGUGACAAACAGCAAUUAGAUACAAAACUCACUUGCUUACCGUACCUUUCUGCCUUUCCUCAGGGACCUGGACACACUGUUCUGCGGCACCAGCAGCAGCAGCCUGCACAUCCAUGGCCUGCAGGAGGAGGACGAGGGGACGUACAGGUGCCGGGCGGAGAACAGGGAGGACUCGCUCGACGCCGUGGCCCACAUACAGGUCCAAGUUGCUCCGAGGUUUCUGAGGCAGCCGGCCAACGCUCUCGCCUAUGAGAAGGAGAACGUGGAGCUGGAGUGCAGCGUGUACGGCCAGCCAGAGCCCUCGCUCCACUGGCUCAAGAACGGCGAGCUGCUGGUGGAGACGGAAUACCUUCAGAGAACGCGUCCAGAACGUGAGUGCAGCUCCUCCAGCGAGGGACGGGAUGAAUACAAGACCCAGAUCAGCGACCUAAGUCCCGGGAGUAACUACAUGGUGCGGGUGGCGGCCCACACCUCCGGCGGCCUGGUGGGCGCCUCCAUACACGAGGUGCGGGUGUUCACCAAGCCGGACCUGGACCUGCCCUCCGCCUCAGAGUCUGAAAGUUGUCUCCACCUCACCCACCAGUCUGGAGGC